GAAUGCUGACAUAAGUAACGAUAAAGCGGGUGAAAAGCCCGCUCGCCGGAAGACCAAGGGUUCCUGUCCAACGUUAAUCGGGGCAGGGUGAGUCGACCCCUAAGGCGAGGCCGAAAGGCGUAGUCGAUGGGAAACAGGUUAAUAUUCCUGUACUUGGUGUUACUGCGAAGGGGGGACGGAGAAGGCUAUGUUGGCCGGGCGACGGUUGUCCCGGUUUAAGCGUGUAGGCUGAUUUUCCAGGCAAAUCCGGAAAAUCAAGGCUGAGGCGUGAUGACGAGGCACUACGGUGCUGAAGCAACAAAUGCCCUGCUUCCAGGAAAAGCCUCUAAGCAUCAGGUAACAUCAAAUCGUACCCCAAACCGACACAGGUGGUCAGGUAGAGAAUACCAAGGCGCUUGAGAGAACUCGGGUGAAGGAACUAGGCAAAAUGGUGCCGUAACUUCGGGAGAAGGCACGCUGAUAUGUAGGUGAAGCGACUUGCUCGUGGAGCUGAAAUCAGUCGAAGAUACCAGCUGGCUGCAACUGUUUAUUAAAAACACAGCACUGUGCAAACACGAAAGUGGACGUAUACGGUGUGACGCCUGCCCGGUGCCGGAAGGUUAAUUGAUGGGGUUAGCGGUAACGCGAAGCUCUUGAUCGAAGCCCCGGUAAACGGCGGCCGUAACUAUAACGGUCCUAAGGUAGCGAAAUUCCUUGUCGGGUAAGUUCCGACCUGCACGAAUGGCGUAAUGAUGGCCAGGCUGUCUCCACCCGAGACUCAGUGAAAUUGAACUCGCUGUGAAGAUGCAGUGUACCCGCGGCAAGACGGAAAGACCCCGUGAACCUUUACUAUAGCUUGACACUGAACAUUGAGCCUUGAUGUGUAGGAUAGGUGGGAGGCUUUGAAGUGUGGACGCCAGUCUGCAUGGAGCCGACCUUGAAAUACCACCCUUUAAUGUUUGAUGUUCUAACGUUGGCCCGUUAUCCGGGUUGCGGACAGUGUCUGGUGGGUAGUUUGACUGGGGCGGUCUCCUCCUAAAGAGUAACGGAGGAGCACGAAGGUUGGCUAAUCCUGGUCGGACAUCAGGAGGUUAGUGCAAUGGCAUAAGCCAGCUUGACUGCGAGCGUGACGGCGCGAGCAGGUGCGAAAGCAGGUCAUAGUGAUCCGGUGGUUCUGAAUGGAAGGGCCAUCGCUCAACGGAUAAAAGGUACUCCGGGGAUAACAGGCUGAUACCGCCCAAGAGUUCAUAUCGACGGCGGUGUUUGGCACCUCGAUGUCGGCUCAUCACAUCCUGGGGCUGAAGUAGGUCCCAAGGGUAUGGCUGUUCGCCAUUUAAAGUGGUACGCGAGCUGGGUUUAGAACGUCGUGAGACAGUUCGGUCCCUAUCUGCCGUGGGCGCUGGAGAACUGAGGGGGGCUGCUCCUAGUACGAGAGGACCGGAGUGGACGCAUCACUGGUGUUCGGGUUGUCAUGCCAAUGGCACUGCCCGGUAGCUAAAUGCGGAAGAGAUAAGUGCUGAAAGCAUCUAAGCACGAAACUUGCCCCGAGAUGAGUUCUCCCUGACUCCUUGAGAGUCCUGAAGGAACGUUGAAGACGACGACGUUGAUAGGCCGGGUGUGUAAGCGCAGCGAUGCGUUGAGCUAACCGGUACUAAUGAACCGUGAGGCUUAACCUU
rnacentral:rRNA from 1 species